rnacentral:rRNA from 1 species
UACGUAGGUGGCAAGCGUUGUCCGGAUUUACUGGGCUUAAAGGGUGCGUAGGCGGGCUGCCAAGUUUGGGGUGAAAUCCUCCGGCUCAACCGGGGAAGUGCCUCGAAUACUGGCGGUCUGGAGGGAGGUAGGGGCGUGCGGAACUAACGGUGGAGCGGUGAAAUGCGUUGAUAUCGUUAGGAACUCCGGUGGCGAAGGCGGCACGCUAGACCUCUUCUGACGCUGAGGCACGAAAGCCAGGGGAGCGAACGGG